AUCCAGAUGACGAGUCCCAAAUAGGACAAAGUAUGCAUACUGGAU
rnacentral:hammerhead_ribozyme from 1 species